rnacentral:lncRNA from 1 species
UCAGUUGCUGAGCCUAUGUAAGCACACAAAGUUGCGCACUCUACUGUGCUACAGGUCUUUACAGAAGCAAAGUCUAGCUUCUGUUAUGGACCAUUGGUGUAGUAAACUUCAGCAUAUGCGCGUGGUUUUGUGUGCCCACACAAAGGAGCUACCGAAGAGUAUUGGGAAAUUGAAGCAUCUACGGUACCUGGAAAUCUCCGGAGCUUGUCCUUUCAAAAGCCUUCCCUCGGAGUUAUGUCACCUACAUAAUUUGCAGAUUUUUUCAGCUCGAAAAUGCAAAUUAGAAAGCUUGCCCGGUGACUUCAGUAAGCUAUGCAAUUUACAGAGGUUCGAAUCAUGUGGAUUUAACUCUCCCAAAUGGAGAAAGUCAUUUUGAUGCAUCCACUGGGCAGGGAGUCGGACUUACAUUGAUGAAGAACGUGAACCAAAUUUGUGGAGGAGUGACGAUAAAUAAUCUUGGUGCAACAAGCAAGGAUAUUGCAGCAGAAAGUG